rnacentral:rRNA from 1 species
CCUACGGGGUGCAGCAGUAGGGAAUUUUGCGCAAUGGGCGAAAGCCUGACGCAGCAACGCCGCGUGAUCGAGACGCCCUUCGGGGUGUAAAGAUCUGUCAGUGGGGACGAAACUUGACGGUACCCACAGAGGAAGCACCGGCUAACUCCGUGCCAGCAGCCGAGGUAAUACGGGGGAUGCAAGCGUUGUCCGGAAUCAUUGGGCGUAAAGAGUUCGUAGGCGGCACGUAAAGGCUGGUGUGAAAGGGAGAGGCUCAACUUCUGUACGGCACUGGAUACUUGCGAGGUAGAAUGCGGUAGGGGUAAAGGGAAUUGCGGGGGUAGGCGUGAAAUGCUUAGAUAUCAGGAGGAAAAUCGGGGGCGUAAGCGCUUUACUGGGCCGUAAUUGACGCUGAGGAACGAAAGCCAGGGUAGCAAAUGGGAUUAGAUACCCGAGUAGUC